GGUCAGGUGGUGUGAUGGUUAACACCUGCUAUAUAUGCAGAAGCCCUGGGUUCAAUGCCCAGUCUGGCCA